GGGUGAAGGGGUAAAGUCAGGGAAGAGAGUCGACAGGACUCCUGCUCGAGCAAAGCAGAGAGGAGCAGAGACCACAGCCUGGCAGAGGGACUCCCCAGAUCUCUGGUGAGUGUUCCCCCAGCCUGGCGUAGGGCAUGCCCCAGUUCACUUUCGCCUGCUUCUGUGGUCUCCACGGCUUCUGCAAAAUGAAGAGGAAGAAGGAGGAAGUUCACAGAGAGCGGGAGACGGCGGUGUGAUCAGAACCAGGGCCCCUCCAUCAAGCCCCCAGCAGGUCCCAGGCCUGAUGGUGCCUGCUUCUGGCUGGGGCUUGGAGCAGGAAGCCGUGUGUGUAUCUUAAGUCUUGAUUUAGCCAGUGCUCUUCUCAGCCUGACUCUCACCCGAGGGCAUCAGCCUCCUGUGUGCCUCUCAUCCUCCUCAUGCCCACACCCAUUAGCUUCCAAUUCUCAGACCUCCUUGGAGAGAGGCCCCAGCCACACAAGGGGGAACCCCAGGACCUGCCGCAUGCCUUCCAGAGACUGAGAAGCCCCAGGGAGGCCAAGGAGUGAAACUUCUUUCCUGCCCUGAGAGCUUCGGGGGACUCUUCUCAGGGUAACCGCAUGAGGCAUGUGCCACCCUGGGCUGGGAGAGCUGUUGCUAAAUGGGAAACUGGCAGCUCUAGCAGAGAACUUCCAGCAGCCCUGACCCUGGAGAAGGCGGAAGUGUGAGACUCUCCUGGGAUUCCAGGACCUGGGGCAAGAGUCCUUUUCCAGCCCCCUGCCAGCAUCCUCCUGGGCCAGGUGGGGCCAGGCCUGAGGUGGCCAGCCCAGUGAGGAGGAAGGCAGAGGUGGCCAGUGGCUCCGUGGCUCCCUCUGUUCUUGCUCUCCAGAAAGCAGUGUUUCCUCCAGCCCCGGCCCUGACCCACCCAUGUUCAUGAUGCCUGUGCCUCCUUGCCAGCGUCACAGAUGUGGGGAGGCCUGUUCCCCAGGCCCUGACUCCCCUCCUCAGGGACUGUCUUGCCGUGGCCAGACUGAGGGACCCCUUUCCUGGACUGAGCCGUGCCCUCCCUCGAUUCUCCUGUCUCCCCUGCCUUUUUCUUCUCUCCUCAGAAGCCAUAGAGGGGACUGUGUUUGUAUGUGGUGCCUUCAGUGGAAACUCUUAGGGUAGGGGGACCUCUAGGACCUUGCUCGACUUUUUCCCUCAUCCCCCACCCCCGCCAACCUUCCAGCUUCAGCCUCUGCCCUUACCCCCAGCCCAUUUCCAGGAGGUAGGAAGCAAAAGAAAAAAGCAUUUCCUUCCCUCUUUCCUUCUUCCUUCCUUCCUCUCUCCCUUCAUUUUGGUAUAACUUAGCCUUUUGUCUUUGAUCCUGGAGUUCUCCGGGGCUAGAAGACAUGCAGAGAGGAAUGCCAGCAGCAGAGAUGCUUCAGGCAGAUUCUGUAAGCCUGUUCUCCCUCACCAGGGAGCAGCUCAGCCAAGGAGCAAAGUCAGACCCCCUCUAGCUCCCCAGGGACAGAAUAGCCCUUCUGACAGGUAAACAGGUGACCUGGGUAGAGAGGGCAAGGCCCCAAGAUAGGAGAGUCUGGGCUCCCCUUUCCUUGGAAUGUGGGCCUCUCUGGGCAACUAGGGAGGGCAAAAGUCUUCCUCGGCUGGUUCGCCCAAAACCUGGGAGAAGCAAGGGCACAUUCUAUGCUGGCAGCCUCUGCCUGCCCAGCUCAUGCCCACACUCAGGGGCCUUUCCUGGGCUUUGGGCAGAUUGGGUGGGAUUCAGGUUGUCUUUAUGAGGCUUGAGCACAGCUUGAGUUCCUCCUCCCAUCCUCCAACCCCUUCCUUUGCCCCUACCUCCUAGCCCCCACCUUCUACAAUCUGUUAUUUCCUUUUAUAUCCAAAGAAUUAUAAACAGAAGUCCUUCCCUCAAGGGAACCGCAAGAUUCAGCAAUAAAGGCCAGUGGGGUCACAAAGGACAGAAGAAAAACUCCCUGGUUCUUUGUCCUCUUGGAUAGUAGAGGCCUUGGGUGAGGCAAAGAGAUGGGCAGAAAAAGUUACCUUGAUACAGAGGCCAGAGAGCCUCCUGGAGGGCAUGUGUUUCCCUAGCGGUCACCUGCGAGGCUGCAAUCCUAGAAAAGUCACUUCUGUGGCAGAGGAUGAAAUUGUAUCCCCGGAGACUCAGAGAUAUUGGGUGUUAUGUCCUGACCACACAGGCUCACCAGGAGGAAAGGUUAGGAAAGUGGAGAAAGUACGUCCUGGGGAGCGGGUGGCCGAGGAGAGCUUUCCCCUUGUGCGCCUCUCAGACCUUGGCAGGGAUUGCAGCUGCAGGGGUUUGGCAGUGAGCCCAUCCAGAGAGCUUCCUCCCCCGGGAGAACUCCCUUGGUUCCAGAGGGAUACUAGAUAUCUUGAGCCCUGGCUUUGGGAACAUGGGUGGGGUCCCAAGGUCAAAGUGUUCUGAGUGGAGGUCCAGUUGUCCUCUGCCUCCAAGCCGGCAGCCCCUUCUUCACCCAGGGCUGAGGUUGGGGCCAGCACUGCAGCUGGAAUUGUCUGAGCAGGAGGUAGCAGCUUCUAGCCAGGCACACCCCAACCCCACAUUCUAUUGUCCCUCAGUUUCCUUCUCAGGAAAAUGGGGACUUUGCUCCUUUUAGCAUCUCAGGAAGCAGUCUGGACACCUGUGCCCUCCUCUAGGCCCUUGGAUGAGCCCAGGGAAUAGGGAAAGGCCAAAGCAGCCCCAGCAUUCGCAGACCCUGCGCCCUGGGCCUCUGACUUCGGGCCAGGCUUCUGCUCCUUCUAGGGUGGGCCAGGCUGCCCUGCCUUCCCAUCCUCUCUCCAUGGUUCUCUCCCAGAGACUCCACCUUGAGGUGGGGGCCCUGAGCUCUUGGGGUGAGGGAGGGGCACAUGGGUAGAUGAUUCUGUGGAGGAGAUCAGGCCUCUUGUUCUUGCUGCGUGGCACUGAUUCCUCCUUGCAGAUGGGUGAGGGGGCCAGUUUUCCCCAUCUGUAAAGCGAGGACUUCCCAUGGCCAUUUUCCCUCUUGGGCUUCAGGCUGCUGAAUGGAAGAUCAAGAAGUGUGAAGGGUGCUUGGGGUCCUUGUGACUUGAGUGUUGCCUAGGACCCUGGCCCACAGGACCCAAGGGGCUUCUUGUCUCAGGUUGAAACCUUUUUAUCAGAAUGUCAUUUCCUUCUCUGCUCCCAGGGAAGGGCUUUUUGCAUGUAGCAUAUGGGUUCAUAGAAAUAUAUAGGGAGAUUGUUAUUUUUAGAAAAAAAAAAGCAAUAAUUAACUAACUGAAAUACACAUGAAGUGUUAGAGUGGGAUGCAAGGAGCACUGAGCUGGGAGCCAGGUCUCCUGGCUUCUAGCCCUGCUUGGAAACUAAUGACCUAUGUGACCUUAGACUAGUCAUGUCUUAUUUCUGAGACUCAGGUUCCUCAACUAUAAAUAGGGGAUUACAUGAAUUUCCUCUUAAGUCUCCUUUGGAGUCCAGGGCUCUGUGAGUCUGGGAAGUUGAGCCUCAGUGGGGCAUAGGGUUGUGGAACCAGAGGGUCGCAGGUUUCCUCUGCCCUCACAGAUGCACUCCGUGCAGACAACAGACAUAUCUGGAGGGUGGAUGGAAGUGGUAUGGUGGCUCUGAGAAGUGAGAGGGGGAGUGAGAGGGAAAGGCAAGUCACCCAGAGCUUCUGCUAGAAUCUUCCCCUAGCCAGGGCCCAGGACUCCUUGCAGUUCUGCCUCUCUUCCCUCCUACAGCCAGGCCCAAGGGGAGUAAGUCAGUUGGCCUAGACUCUGACUUCAGGUCCUGUCUAGGCCAUCACAGGCGCCACUCUCAUGUACGUUCUCACUUUCUCUCUGUCACAUACACACAGCAUCACCACCACCACCACCACAACCACCUGCAGAUAGAUGCUCAAGUGAUUCUAGAAGAGAUCUCAAGGACUGGCGCUCUGCUCCAGUUAUGUAACCCAUGGGCUUCCCUUUGCACAGCUCCUCAUGUGCCCAUCUCCAUGCUGAUCAAACCACCCCACCUCAUUCCUUGCCUUCUGCAAGGGGAAGUGCCUCAGGCUGGAGUUUGUCCUAUCUACAGACUGAAUAUGCAUUUUGCCCAGUGGCUGGAGAGUUGCUGGUGGUGGAAUGUGCUGGUGAUUGUUUCUGGAUGGAGAGCCACAGCCCCCCAGUGUUCUGCCAUGACUGACUCCUGACCUUGGCAAAUUGCCUCCUCUCUCCCAGCCUCCUCCAUAACAGGUGGCGAUGAGUCCCAUUUCCUCCCUACCUCACAGGAAGGCACGCAUUAUAAAGGGCACACUUAUCAGAUGUGCCCAGAUGUGGCUGGAACUUUUGGAGACAGAUACUUGGUUCACAACUGCAAAGGUGGGCUUUCACCAGAGAAGAAAAUCUCUGGGCUGCUGAGUUCAGUGGGCUCCUUGCAGGCUGGUCCAGGAAGUCUGGUGUUCCUCCUGAAGGUGGCUGCUAUGUCCAGCAGGUGAUCAAGCUGACAGUACCACAAGAACCAAGAAACAGAAUCUGUUCCCAAGGAAUGAACAUUCUAUCUCUCUGACCCAAAAGCAAGAGCAAGAGAGAGCUGUCACCAUCAUCACCCUGCUCCCAACACAAACACAGCCCCCCAAGUCCAUAUUGCUGACAAGGGUGUCUGCCUUGUCAGGGUGAAUCCUCUGGACCCCCAGGCCAUCCCUGGAGUGGUCAGUGCCCACUGUGCCGGGGUUAUUGUGGCCAGUCCGCCUGGGUUCGCUUCUCUAAAUUUCCAUGGCGUAGGAACUAUAGAUCAUGAAGAAGAAACAGGAACCUUGACUCUUCACGGAGGAGCCCAGGAGGUCAGAACCAUCCACCAGGAGGGUGAGCGGUAGCUGCCCAGGGCAUCCCUGGAGGAAGUCGUCAUACUGAAGAAGAAAUUGCCAAAGCCAAGAGCUCCCAGACCUGGGCAGCUCAGGAGCUGACAGAAACCACCCCCCAAGUCUGGAGUUCAAGGGUUUUCCUCGUGGGCUGCUGGUCUGUCUCUUUCCCUUCUGGGGCAGCCGUCUCUCCUCCUUCAGCUCAUUCCCGUGUUCCAUCUGAGGGGCGGGAGGAAGGCAGGAGGGGGAGAUGGCAGGACCCAGACAGAUCCUCAGGACUCUCCCAGCCUCUGUUGCCAUGGCAACACUGCUAUUUUUAUCCCGUUGUUCAUGAUGCUCAAAGCUCUAACUUUCUCUGUUCCAGAGAGGCCAGGCUGGUUUCUGCCCUCAUCCUUUAACACAGCAUCUUCUCCCAGAGGCCUGAGGAUGGGAAAAAGUGAUGGAGAAAAGGGGAACCCCUAAGGUCACCCCUCAGCCAGGGGGAACUGUUUAACAGGGGUUUGUCUCUGCCCUUUUGAGCCUUUGGUUUUCUACCUGGCUCAGGCACCCAGGUUUAUGUUUUCUAGAUCAAAACUCUGCAUGGUCUCCCUGAGAGACUGCUCCAGAGAGAAAAGAGCUGCCAAUCAGGAUGGAUUUUUUCCUACACAGGUAUGACACUGCAGCCACUUCCCUUCUUGGGAAAAUUAAACUUCAUUCUGAAGAAUGUCCUGUUGGUGGUAUAAGCCAACCCCCGCCCUCCUAAAAGGGGAUAGAUAAUUAAAUUUGGUUAAUUAGCAAUCAGAUUCACUGGGGAAUUGAAACCAGUACUUCCCUUUCUUCUGUCCCUCCACCAAAGAACCGGAACAAAUGGCUUCAUGUCUUUGUCCAGUCUUUCUGCCUAAAGCAAAAUAGCAUAUAUUCUCCAGGCUGAAAAGUAGAUUCCUCCUCACCCCUACUCAAGACGGCCACAUUUCAAUCCAGGCUCUUGAAGACAGGGUCUAAUGAAAGGAUUUCUGUUCUUUCUCUGUCUGUUCCCUCUGGCCCAGCUUCUAGUCCUCUCCUUAUGUCCCCACCUCCAUGGCAGUGGCAAGAGACCCCUGAGAGUCAAUGGUGCUAACGUUCCCCACCUAUAUACCCCUAUGUAGUUUAUCGAGAUUUGAACCCAGCACCUGGGUGGCUGUGUUGGGCGGAUACAUUUCACAUCCUCAAGACCACAACCCUGGCGACAGGUCUGGAUAAAUUCUGUAAAGUAGCAAUCUAUAUCAUGCUAAACUCCUGCACUGAGGUUCUACCUCGGCUGAACUGACUCGUGGAUGGUUAAGUUUCCUGGGGUGGCUGGAACCCAUUUACUAAGCCUCUAAUUGGUUUCAUUUUGGCUCAAGUUGCAUGGUUUCCCGAAUCUAUGCACCUGGAGUAAGCACUUUUCUGGUUGCCACUGGAAAGCAUGC
rnacentral:lncRNA from 1 species